GGGUUGUUAGUCUAAGUAAGGCAUUAGUUUGUAGCACUAGGAAUGGGUCGUUCCCACAGCCCU
rnacentral:tRNA from 1 species